GCGCAACUGACGCUCAUGCUCGAAAGUGCGGGUAUCGAACAGGAUUAGAUACCCUGGUAGUCCGCACGGUAAACGAUGGAUGCCCGCUAUUUGUCCAUUAGGAUAAGUGGCCAAGUGAAAACGUUAAGCAUCCCACCUGGGGAGUACGCCGGCAACGGUGAAACUCAAAGGAAUUGACGGGGGCCCGCACAAGCGGAGGAACAUGUGGUUUAAUUCGAUGAUACGCGAGGAACCUUACCCGGGCUUGAAUUGUGAGAGAAGGAUCCAGAGAUGGUGACGCCCUUCGGGGCUCUCAUGAAGGUGCUGCAUGGUUGUCGUCAGCUCGUGCCGUGAGGUGUCGGCUUAAGUGCCAUAACGAGCGCAACCCCUCUCUUCAGUUGCCAUCAGGUUAAGCUGGGCACUCUGGAGACACUGCCACCGUAAGGUGUGAGGAAGGUGGGGAUGACGUCAAAUCAGCACGGCCCUUACGUCCGGGGCUACACACGUGUUACAAUGGGUGGUACAGAGAGUUGGGUGCCCGCAAGGUCACUCUAAUCAAUAAAUCCAUCCUCAGUUCGGACUGGGGUCUGCAACCCGACCCCACGAAGCUGGAUUCGCUAGU
rnacentral:rRNA from 1 species